rnacentral:rRNA from 1 species
AACAAACGCUGGCGGCGUGCCUAACACAUGCAAGUCGUACGAGAAAGGGUCCUUCGGGACCUGAGUAAAGUGGCGCACGGGUGAGUAACGCGUGGAUAAUCUGCCCUUCAGUUGGGAACAACUCAUCGAAAGGUGGGCUAAUACCGUAUAACACUGCAAGACUUUGGUCGAGCAGUCAAAGAGAGCCUCUGCUUGCAAGCCCUCGCUGAAGGAUGAGUCCGCGUACCAUUAGCUAGUUGGCAGGGUAAUGGCCUACCAAGGCGACGAUGGUUAGCUGGUCUGAGAGGAUGAUCAGCCACACUGGAACUGAGACACGGUCCAGACUCCUACGGGAGGCAGCAGUGAGGAAUCUUGCGCAAUGGGGGAAACCCUGACGCAGCAACGCCGCGUGAGUGAGGAAGGCCUUCGGGUCGUAAAGCUCUGUUAGUUGGAAAGAAAUGCCUGAGAGUUAAUACCUUUCAGGUUUGACGGUACCAACAGAGGAAGCACCGGCUAACUCCGUGCCAGCAGCCGCGGUAAUACGGGGGGUGCAAGCGUUGUUCGGAAUUAUUGGGCGUAAAGAGCGUGUAGGCGGCCGGAUAUGUCAGAUGUGAAAGCCCUGGGCUUAACCCAGGAAGUGCAUUUGAAACUGUCCGGCUUGAGUAUGGGAGAGG